ensembl:lncRNA novel transcript
AACAAAAUACUUUCCUCAUCCAACUCACUGAUUAAACCCUUACCCUGUUAACUCACCCUAUGACUGUGUAAACCUCCAGUAAGAUUAUUGAAGGCACAGCUCCAAGUAACUUGCUUAAUUGCAUUCCUGGGACAAAAGAGGGAAGCGCUUCAAAGCUGACAGACAGAUGGUAGAGUGUCCAGUCACAGCAAAGCAGGCCCCGAGGCUCAUGACAGACAACUCCAGGGCUGAGAUCUCAUUUGUAGCUCUGGGAUAAAGUCCAGGGUUUGAUGGCAGCAGGCUGAAGUGUAAAGAUGCUCAACAAUGCGCACCCCAGAGACACUGAAUCUGAAAAAGCUUAGAGUGAAUAAAAAUCUGGAAAUGAA